UACGUAGGCAGCGAGCGUUGUUCGGAAUUACUGGGCGUAAAGCGUGCGCAGGCGGCUAUGCAAGACAGAUGUGAAAUCCCCGGGCUCAACCUGGGAACUGCAUUUGUGACUGCAUAGCUAGAGUACGGUAGAGGGGGAUGGAAUUCCGCGUGUAGCAGUGAAAUGCGUAGAUAUGCGGAGGAACACCGAUGGCGAAGGCAAUCCCCUGGACCUGUACUGACGCUCAUGCACGAAAGCGUGGGGAGCAAACAGG
rnacentral:rRNA from 1 species